GAUGAACGCUGGCGGCGUGCCUAAUACAUGCAAGUCGAGCGAAGCGGGGACGGGUGAGUAACACGUGGAUAACCUCCUAUAAGACUGGGAUAACUUCCGGAAACCGGAGCUAAACCUGCUACAUAUAGAUGGAUCCUGGCUGCAUUAGCUAGUUGGUAAGGUAACGGCUUACCAAGGCAACGAUGCAUAGCCGACCGGGGAGGAUGAUCAGCCACACUGGAAUGGAGCCACGGUCCAGACUCAUACGGGAGGCAGCGGUAGGGAAUCGUACGCAAGGGGAGAAAGCCUACCGGGACAAAGCCGAGUGAGUGAAGAAGGGCUUGGGAUCGUAAAACUCUGUUAUUAGGGAAGCGGUACCUAAUCAGAAAGCCACGGCUAACUACGUGCCAGCAGCCGCGGUAAUAC
rnacentral:rRNA from 1 species